AUGGGAAGGCGCGGUGGUGGGGCACCCUCCCGGCCUCCCUCCCCUGGGUCCGGAGCAGGCAUGGAGGGGGCCCAAGGCCGGGGUGCAGUGCUGCCUUGGGCUCAGCCCCGCAGCCCUGCACCGGGACCGAGAACUCGGGAUUCAAAGCCUGCCACUGCCACCGGGCCGCGGGUGACCUCGGGCAGAGCCUCCCUCUCUGGGGCCUCAGCGUGGCCCGGACAGAAAUGGGGGGGUGUGAGUGGCGGUGGGUCCCCGCCCGGCGCUGGGCGCCCCUCUGGCCCCGACAGCCCUCCGAGGUGGCCGCGGCUCCCGGGCUUGCACCAGCUGCCCCUGGACGGGCCGGUCAGCCUCACCGGAAGCCCUUCCUGUCCAGGGGAAUUACGGGUUUCCACAGCCCCGGGAGAUGUCGAAACGCAGGCUUGUUUGCCUUGGGUUUGUUUUCUUUCCACGGAAAACAAAACACAACAAACCCGUGGGCGCCGGCCCGCUGACCCACGGGGGCAGAUAGCCCGUAGCCCGGGUUCCUCGGGAGGCCCCGGCCCCAGCGCCCGGCGGGGCUCCGGGUCGCCUGCCGCGGGGGCCAAGGGACCUCGGGGGUCCCGGGUGGGGGGCGCCUUCCGCCCGAGUCACAGACAGUGGGAGCAGGAGCUCCACAGGCCCGGGGCCCCCCGGGUGCCAAGGUGCACACCGGGCCUUGGGCUUACGGGGCCUCCUCCGGCGCACCCCAUCCCUGGGGAAGCCGGGGCUCGGAGUGGGGGCUGCUCAGCCUCAGGCAGCCAGGGGAGGCAGGGCGGGGGCCGUGGGCACACGGGCACGGCUCCGGUCCUCGGUUGUGUACAGCCCCGGGAGGGUGCUGCCAAACAGGCACCCCUAGGCGAGAAUCCUCUCCUCCGACGGUCGUGGGGCUGUGUCCCCUCUCCGCCCACCUGCCCGGCUGCAUGGACACCCACCUGCCACUUCAGGCUGACUCUGGCCCUCCCGGGCCACCUCACUUACCCUGAGUGGGGCAUCCGGGGCUGA
rnacentral:lncRNA from 12 species